UCCUCUGAGCUCAGCUUCGCCUCU
rnacentral:miRNA from 1 species